rnacentral:rRNA from 1 species
UACGUAGGGUGCGAGCGUUAAUCGGAAUUACUGGGCGUAAAGCGUGCGCAGGCGGUUUUGUAAGCCAGAUGUGAAAGCCCCGGGCUUAACCUGGGAAUGGCAGUGGAAACUGGGGAGCUUGAGUGUGGAAGAGGGGGGUGGAAUUCCAGGUGUAGCAGUGAAAUGCGUAGAGAUCUGGAGGAACACCGAUGGCGAAGGCAGCCCCCUGGGCUAACACUGACGCUCAUGCACGAAAGCGUGGGGAGCAAACAGG